AUUGAACGCUGGCGGCAGGCCUAACACAUGCAAGUCGAACGAGUGGCGGGUGGGUGAGUAAGGUCUGGGAAAGGGCCUGAUGGAGGGGGAUAACAACCGGAAACGGUAACUAAUACCGCAUAGAAUAGGCUGGGUCCAGAUGGGAUUAGCUUGUUGGUGGGGUAACGGCUCACCAAGUCGACGAUCCCGACCUGGUGUGAGAGGAUGACCAGCAACACUGGAACUGAGACACGGUCCAGACCCCUACGGGAGGCAGCAGUGGGGAAUAUUGGACAAUGGGCGAAAGCCUGAUCCAGCCAUGCCGCGUGUAUGAAGAAGGUUUUCGGGUUGUAAAGCUCUUUUGUUGGGGAGGCGUUACCUGACGAGAAAGCAACGGCUAACUACGUGCCAGCAGCCGCGGUAAUAC
rnacentral:rRNA from 1 species